rnacentral:rRNA from 1 species
GACGAACGCUGGCGGCGUGCUUAACACAUGCAAGUCGAACGGAAAGGCCCAGCUUGCUGGGUGCUCGAGUGGCGAACGGGUGAGUAACACGUGGGUGAUCUGCCUCUAACUUCGGGAUAAGCUUGGGAAACUGGGUCUAAUACCGGAUAGGACAAUCGUUUAGUGUCGGUUGUGGAAAGUUUUUUCGGUUAGGGAUGAGCCCGCGGCCUAUCAGCUUGGUGGUGGGGUAAUGGCCUACCAAGGCGUCGACGGGUAGCCGGCCUGAGAGGGUGGACGGCCACAUUGGGACUGAGAUACGGCCCAGACUCCUACGGGAGGCAGCAGUGGGGAAUAUUGCACAAUGGGCGCAAGCCUGAUGCAGUGACGCCGCGUGGGGGAUGACGGCCUUCGGGUUGUAAACCUCUUUCGACAGGGACGAAGCUUUGGUGACGGUACCUGUAUAAGAAGCACCGGCUAACUACGUGCCAGCAGCCGCCGUAAUAC